GAUGAACGCUAGCGGCAGGCCUAAUACAUGCAAGACGAACGGUAAGUUGAGUAGCAAUACUUAGCCAAGAGUGUCGUACGGGUGCGUAACACGUAUGCAACCUACCCUAUACAGGAGGAUAGCCUAGGGAAACCUGGAUUAACCCUUCAUAGUAUUAUUGGAUGGCAUCAUUUGAUAAUUAAAACUGAGGUGGUAUAGGAUGGGCAUGCGUCUGAUUAGUUAGUUGGCGGGGUAAUGGCCCACCUAAGACGAUGAUCAGUAGGGGUUCUGAGAGGAAGAUCCCCCAACACUGGCACUGAGAUACGGGCCAGACUCCUACGGGAGCAGCAGUAGGGAAUAUUGGGUCAAUGGAUGCAAGUCUGAACCAGCCAUGCCGCGUGCAGGAAGAAGGCCUUUCUGGGUUGUAAACUGCUUUUGCCAGGGGAUAAAAUUUCCAUGCGUGGAAAACUGAAGGUACCUGGUGAAUAAGCCACGGCUAACUACGUGCCAGCAGCCGCGGUAAU
rnacentral:rRNA from 1 species